GCCGGGUGUGGUGGCUCACGCUUGUAAUCCCAGCACUUUGGGAGGCUGAGGCGGGUGGAUCACCUGAGGCCAGGAGUUUGAGACCAGCCUGGCCAACAUGGUGAAACCCUGUCUCUA
rnacentral:SRP_RNA from 1 species